CCACCCUUAGCAGCUUUGGCAGAAAGUAUUUUCAACCCUGAAAAAGGGGGAAGUAGGGACUCUGCUCCGGCGUCUUUCUACACACGACCAAGCGUGUCAACAGACGAGGUUGGCUUCGAAGACUAUAAAAAUGCAUUGUGGUUUCUAGCCAGCAUAGGUUAAUAAUUACCAAGAGCAAGGGAGUGGACAUAUAUAGAACACUACUGAAGAAACCAUUCGUACUACUGCUAUCCUCCAGUUACUGUACCAGUGGACCAGAAAAAAGAGACACCCAAUGGCCCUUCAAUGCCUGGCUGCCUUUCUUCGGAGUGGAGUAGCUUAAGGCUAAUCUCCUGCGCAUGCCGACACCCUAAGAACUACAAGAGCUACACCCUAAGAACUACAAGCCCUAAGAACUACAAGAGCGACACCCUAAGAACUACAAGAGCUACACCCUAAGAACCCAAGUCUUAUUUUCUUUCCAUAUCUGAUCUUUUUUUUCUGACUGCCCACACUCAGUUUUACAUGUGACCCCUAUCAGAUGUGUGCAUUCACAUUGAUGUAGCCUCUGAAGUAUCACACAUACUCAAUUCUCAUUUCCUGUCACUGUUCCUUUCAAUUUUGUGUAGUUGUUGUUGUGGUAACGGCAGGUCAUGUGCUAACAAUCUGAGUGUCCAGACUGAGGUCACAUACGGAGCAUCAGAAUUGUUUCUACUAAAUGUGUAUGUGAUCAAUAAAAUGUUAUUUGAAUGAAUGCAA